rnacentral:rRNA from 1 species
CCAGACUCCUACGGGAGGCAGCAGUGAGGAAUAUUGGUCAAUGGGCGCGAGCCUGAACCAGCCAAGUCGCGUGAGGGAGGACGGCCCUACGGGUUGUAAACCUCUUUUGCCGGGGAGCAACGGGGUCCUUGCGAGGGCCCGAUGAGAGUACCCGGAGAAAAAGCAUCGGCUAACUCCGUGCCAGCAGCCGCGGUAAUACGGAGGAUGCGAGCGUUAUCCGGAUUUAUUGGGUUUAAAGGGUGCGUAGGCGGAAUGCCAAGUCAGCGGUAAAAUCGCGGGGCUCAACCUCGCUCCGCCGUUGAAACUGGCGUUCUUGAGUGGGCGAGAAGUAUGCGGAAUGCGUGGUGUAGCGGUGAAAUGCAUAGAUAUCACGCAGAACUCCGAUUGCGAAGGCAGCAUACCGGCGCCCAACUGACGCUGAAGCACGAAAGCGUGGGUAUCGAACAGGAUUAGAUACCCUAGUAUC